rnacentral:pre_miRNA from 1 species
UUUCUACUCCCUCCGUCCGAAAAUACUUGUCAUCAAAAUGGAUAAAAAGAGAUGUAUCUAAAAUUAAAAUACGUCUAGAUACAUUUCCUUUUAUCCAUUUUGAUGACAAGUAUUUUCGGAAGGAGGGAGUAUUUG